GAUGAAGAACGCAGCGAAAUGCGAUAAGUAAUGUGAAUUGCAGAAUUCAGUGAAUCAUCGAAUCUUUGAACGCAUCUUGCGCUCCUUGGUAUUCCUUGGAGCAUGCCUGUUUGAGUAUCAUGAGCAAAUCUCAAAGUCAAUUCCUUUUGUUGAUUCAAUUGGUUUUGCUUUGGACUUGGAGGCCUUGCAGAUUUCACAGUCUGCUCCUCUUAAAUGCAUUAGCUGGAUCUCAGUAAUUAUGCUUGGUUCCACUCGGCGUGAUAAGUAUCACUCGCUGAGGACACUGUUAAAAAGGUGGCCAGGAAAAUACUGAUUGAACCGCUUCUAACGGUCUAUUAAGUUAGACAAUUACCCUUAAGUUUGAUCUCAAAUCAGGUAGGACUACCCGCUGAACUUAAGCAUAUCAAUAAGCGGAGGA
rnacentral:misc_RNA from 1 species